CGAAAACAAAACAAAAGCGAUUGACGUCAGAAUUGUGACGUAAGUAUAGAAGAAUGUCAAAAAACUGCUUGAUUUACAGCACAUCAUAUAAGCCUCGCGAAAUCGACAAGCGAACGAACUCGGAAUUGAAGAGCUGCGAGAGCAACACCUCUAUCUACUCUCCCCCCGCCGUCCGGCGUAGACAAGACAUAUCUCCUAAUAUCCAUGUAUAUAUUUAGAGUAUUUAUACGAGUAUAAAAAACUAUUGUGGUUUUUUUCUCCUUCCUUACACACAACUUGCCUCGGGAAGACCGGUAGAUUCAAUAUCAAUCUAUUUCUGAAUAUCCACUAAGUUGUCAUCCAGGGUCUACUGCAGGUGCUUAUGUGGUGUCUGCUGCUGCUGUGCUGCAUACAAUUCUUACUACUGCUACUCAUCGAGGAUCUACAGCUGUGCAUCCAGGACCCUCUGCAGUUGUACGUCUGAGAUCUACUGCUGCUGCUAUGCAUACAGCUUCUACUGCUGAUUUCCGUUCAGGGUCUACUGUAUGUCUGAUGUUUGCUACAACUUUAUUUUCAUCGUCUACGGUUGCUGCUGCUGUCUCUAUUACCAACAGACGCAUGGUUAUGUAUAAUGAGAUAGGCAUGUAGCUAAAACCCGCGUGUAUAUGCAAAAUACACAUAAUUUUUUAUACUAGAAAAAAUCGUGUAAUCGAAACCCUUGUGUACAAGCGAAUGUACAUAAAUUAUUUAUUAUGAUAAUAUGUUUUGUAGGAGACAGAGAUUCGAAUCGAAGAUGAAGUUGACUUAUUAAUGUCUAGUGAAUUGAAAAUGCUAACACACAUUUUUAAACAAGAAUAAUAAGUUUGUCAUGAACAACAAGUUGAAAAUAUGCAUCAAAUGAUCUACUGGGAAUGGAAGCAAUAUAUGGAGGGUUGUGUUUUACUUUUACAAGUUACAGCAAAUAUAUUUACAAGUAUUACGUCUGAAAUUCUUUUAAGGGAAGUUUUAUCAUCUGCGUAAGGAUAUAACUUUCUUUGCAGCAGAAAUGGCAGCUGUUUGUAGAAGAGUUCAUUUUUCUCAUAAAGAGAUGAAUAUUAAAAUUAUGGGUUUUGAUGAUUUGUUAAUGAAUAUAGAUAGGAUUUGGUCUGAAAUGUAACCAUUUUAUACAAAUAUUCCGAUUGUUACAGAGUUACCAAGGAUCCUUAAAGGAAGCUUUGUACGAGACAUUAAGUGGCAUCCUUGCUUCAGAUAGAGAUGAUCGACAAGCAGCUGAACAACGUUUGGCAGCUUUGGAAGUUACAGAAGAGUUUGGUAUUCACCUUACAGAUUUUGUAAUAGAUCCUAAUGGACCACUAGCCAUUCGAUAACUAGCUUCUGUUUUAUUAAAACAAUAUGUGGAAAACCACUGGAAUCCAGUUGCUGAGAAGUUUCGUCUUCCUGAACUUAAUAAGCCCCAUAUAAAAGAAAAAAUUAAAGCUCUAUUACCUCUUGGGUUACGUCAAUCUAUAAGUAAGGUAAGAACUGCUGUGGCUUAUGCAAUAUCGAGAAUCGCACAUUGGGAAUGGCCUGAAAAUUGGCCAGGACUUUCCGACAUCUUAGUGAGUUCUGGAGAAAAUGAAUUUGCUGUUCAUGGUGCCAUGCGAGUAUUGACAGAAUUUAAUAGAGAAUUGACUGAUACUCAUUUGCCCAAUGUGGGUCCAGUGAAUCUGCAAGAGAUGUAUCGAAUUAUUCAAAGCGAUACUAAGCAUCGCGGGCAAGUUGAAAUAGGCGAGGUCGUCGUUAAAAUAUUUCUAAAUAAUAUAACAGUGACGUUUCUAAAAAUAAAAGUUUAAACCGAUUUUGACUUAUAAUUAUUACGCUUCCGUCUCUUUA